CUUUCAACCCACCCAGUACCUGGAGGGUUGUUGCCAC
rnacentral:other from 21 species